rnacentral:rRNA from 1 species
AACGGAGGGGGGCGAGCGUUGUUCGGAUUUACUGGGCGUAAAGUGCAUGUAGGCGUCCCAAUCAGCUCUGGGUGAAAUCUCCGCGCUCAACGCGGAAAUGAAUCAGAGGACAGUUGGGAUUGAGUUCAGGGGAAGAUGGCGGAAUUCUCGGUGUAGCGGUGAAAUGCGUAGAUAUCGAGAAGAACACCAACGGCGAAGGCAGCUUUCUAUCCUGAAACUGACGCUGAAAUGCGAAAGCGUGGGGAGCAAACGGGAUUAGAUACCCUUGUA